rnacentral:rRNA from 1 species
GACGAACGCUGGCGGCGUGCUUAACACAUGCAAGUCGAACGGAAAGGCCCUGCUUUUGUGGGGUGCUCGAGUGGCGAACGGGUGAGUAACACGUGAGUAACCUGCCCUUGACUUUGGGAUAACUUCAGGAAACUGGGGCUAAUACCGGAUAGGAGCUCCUGCUGCAUGGUGGGGGUUGGAAAGUUUCGGCGGUUGGGGUUGGGUUCGCGGCUUAUCGGCUUGUUGGGGGGGGUGUGGCUUACCAGGGCUUUGACGGGUAGCCGGCCUGAGAGGGGGACCGGCCACAUUGGGACUGAGAUACGGCCCAGACUCCAACGGGAGGCAGCAGUGGGGAUUAUUGCACAAUGGGCGGAAGCCGGAUGCAGCAACGCCGCGUGCGGGAUGACGGCCUUCGGGUUGUAACCCGCUUUCGCCUGUGACGAAGCGUGAGUGACGGUAAUGAGUAAAGAAGCACCGGCUAACUACGUG